rnacentral:rRNA from 1 species
UACGAAGGGGGCUAGCGUUGUUCGGAAUUACUGGGCGUAAAGCGCGCGCAGGCGGCUAUCCAAGUCGGUGGUGAAAGCCCGGAGCUCAACUCCGGAACUGCCAUUGAAACUGUUUAGCUUGAGGAUGAGAGAGGUGAGUGGAAUUCCCAGUGUAGAGGUGAAAUUCGUAGAUAUUGGGAAGAACACCGGUGGCGAAGGCGGCUCACUGGCUCAUUACUGACGCUCAGGCGCGAUAGCGUGGGGAUCAAACAGG